AUUGAACGCUGGCGGCAUGCCUUACACAUGCAAGUCGAACGGCAGCGCGGGAGCAAUCCUGGCGGCGAGUGGCGAACGGGUGAGUAAUACAUCGGAACGUGCCCAAUCGUGGGGGAUAACGCAGCGAAAGCUGUGCUGAUACCGCAUACGAUCUACGGAUGAAAGCAGGGGAUCGCAAGACCUUGCGCGAAUGGAGCGGCCGAUGGCAGAUUAGGUAGUUGGUGAGGUAAAGGCUCACCAAGCCUUCGAUCUGUAGCUGGUCUGAGAGGACGACCAGCCACACUGGGACUGAGACACGGCCCAGACUCCUACGGGAGGCAGCAGUGGGGAAUUUUGGACAAUGGGCGAAAGCCUGAUCCAGCCAUGCCGCGUGCAGGAUGAAGGCCUUCGGGUUGUAAACUGCUUUUGUACGGAACGAAACGGUCUUUUCUAAUAAAGAAGGCUAAUGACGGUACCGUAAGAAUAAGCACCGGCUAACUACGUG
rnacentral:rRNA from 1 species